rnacentral:rRNA from 1 species
GAUAAACGCUGGCGGCGUGCAUUAGACAUGCAAGUCGAACGAACGACCUCGGGCUUGCCCGGGGAAGUUAGUGGCGAACGGCUGAGUAACGCGUGGGUGACCUGCCCAGAAGUGGGGAAUAACUGCCCGAAAGGGUGGCUAAUACCGCAUGUGGUCAUGGAUUCAUUUCCAGGACCAAAGCCUUCGGGCGCUUCUGGAGGGGCCUGCGUUCGAUUAGCUCGUUGGUGGGGUAAUGGCCUACCAAGGCGACGAUCGAUAGGUGGUCUGAGAGGAUGAUCACCCAGACUGGGACUGAGACACGGCCCAGACUCCUACGGGAGGCAG